UACAGAGGGUGCGAGCGUUAAUCGGAUUUACUGGGCGUAAGGCGUGCGUAGGCGGCUUCUUAAGUCGGAUGUGAAAUCCCUGAGCUUAACUUAGGAAUUGCAUUCGAUACUGGGAAGCUAGAGUAUGGGAGAGGAUGGUAGAAUUCCAGGUGUAGCGGUGAAAUGCGUAGAGAUCUGGAGGAAUACCGAUGGCGAAGGCAGCCAUCUGGCCUAAUACUGACGCUGAGGAGCGAAAGCUAGGGGAGCAAACAGG
rnacentral:misc_RNA from 1 species